AGCGAACGCUGGCGGCAGGCUUAACACAUGCAAGUCGAACGGUCCUUCGGGAUAGUGGCGGACGGGUGAGUAACACGUGGGAACGUACCCUUAGGUUCGGAACAACACAGGGAAACUUGUGCUAACACCGGAUAAGCCCUUCGGGGGAAAGAUUUAUCGCCUUUGGAACGGCCCGCGUCUGAUUAGCUUGUUGGUGAGGUAAUGGCUCACCAAGGCUACGAUCAGUAGCUGGUCUGAGAGGAUGGCCAGCCAGCCUGGGACCGAGACACGGCCAAGACUCUUCCGGGAGGCAGCAGUGGGGAGACUAGCCCACUGGGCGAAUGCCUGACACAGACAUGUGGCGUGGAUGAUGAAGGUCUUAGGAUUGUAGAAUCCUUUCACCGGGGAAGAUAAUUGCGGUACCCGGGGAAGAAGCGCCGGCUAACUUCGUGCCAGCCGCCGCCGUAA
rnacentral:rRNA from 1 species